rnacentral:lncRNA from 1 species
UGGAACUGCUUGCUCUACAGCGCAUUACAAAACCAGCAAUUGUAUACAACGUUGUGGGUAGAAACAGCCAGGAGAAGAAGAACUUUUCUUACUCUAUAUAAUAAUAAGGUAUGUAAUAAUGUAUUAUUCCCCUUCUUCACUUCAAAUGAACAAAAUGUACACUUUAAUAUUGCAAUCUCUAAAUCUAAUUUGGUUAACAAUUCUAAAAUUGGAAAUAUUUUAAGGAUUAAUUCAAUAUACAUGUACUUAGGACUUUUUUCUGGAUAUUUCACCUUCCCAACAGUCAUCAGAGUGUUCAGUGGGUAAAAACUCUGGUCCUGUAUUGUAACUAGUACUGUUGUAUACAUGACCACGUGAUAGUUAGGAACCACCAUCUAUCUAUCUAGCACCUCACCCCAGCCUGCUAUCUGUCUCUAUCUAUACCUAAUCUCACUGUCACCUCACCCCAGCCUGCUAUCUGUCUCUAUCUAUACCUAAUCUCACUGUCACCUCAGUCUCCACCUCAGCCCAGCCUGCUACCGGUCUCUAUCUAUACCUGCUCCUCCACCUCACCCCAGCCUGCUAUCUGUCUCUAACUAUACCUGUAUUGUAGGUCUAUAAAGAAUAGAGGUAUAGUCAUGACAGUAAAUUGCAGCACCACCCAACUCAUCUGGGUUAGGGUUAUACCCAUGGGUUAUACCCAUAGCCUAUUAUCUAUAACAGUUUAUAACCAUAGCAUAUCAUCCAUAAGAGGUUAUAACCAUAGCCUUUAAUCCAUAACAGGUUAUAACCAUAGCAUAUCAUCCAUAAGAGGUUAUAACCAUAGAAUAUCAUCCAUAAGAGGUUAUAACCAUAGCCUUUAAUCCAUAACAGGUUGUAACCAUAGCCAAUCAUCUAUAACAGGUUGUAACCAUAGCCUAUCACCCAUAAAAGGUUAUAACCAUAGUCUUUAAUCCAUAACAGGUUAUAACCAUAGUCUUUAAUCCAUAACAGGUUAUACCCAUAGUUUUUAAUCCAUAACAGGUUGUAACCAUAGCCUAUCAUCUAUAACAGGUUAUAACCUUAGCAUAUCAUCCAUAACAGGUUAUACCCAUAGUUGUUAAUCCAUAACAGGUUGUAACCAUAGCCUAUCAUCUAUAACAGGUUAUAACCUUAGCAUUUCAUCCAUAACAGGUUAUACCCAUAGUUGUUAAUCCAUAACAGGUUGUAACCAUAGCCUAUCAUCUAUAACAGGUUAUAACCUUAGCAUAUCAUCCAUAACAGGUUAUACCCAUAGUUGUUAAUCCAUAACAGGUUGUAACCAUAGCCUAUCAUCUAUAACAGGUUAUAACCUUAGCAUAUCAUCCAUAACAGGUUAUACCCAUAGUUGUUAAUCCAUAACAG